GACGAACGCUGGCGGCGUGCCUAAUACAUGCAAGUCGAACGCUUUUUCUUUCACCGGAGCUUGCUCCACCGAAAGAAAAAGAGUGGCGAACGGGUGAGUAACACGUGGGUAACCUGCCCAUCAGAAGGGGAUAACACUUGGAAACAGGUGCUAAUACCGUAUAACACUAUUUUCCGCAUGGAAGAAAGUUGAAAGGCGCUUUUGCGUCACUGAUGGAUGGACCCGCGGUGCAUUAGCUAGUUGGUGAGGUAACGGCUCACCAAGGCAACGAUGCAUAGGCUACCUGAGAGGGUGAUCGGACACACUGGGACUGAGACACGGCCCAGACUCCUACGGGAGGUAGCAGUAGGGAAUCUUCGGCAAUGGACGAAAGUCUGACCGAGCAACGCCGCGUGAGUGAAGAAGGUUUUCGGAUCGUAAAACUCUGUUGUUAGAGAAGAACAAGGAUGAGAGUAAAACGUUCAUCCCUUGACGGUAUCUAACCAGAAAGCCACGGCUAACUACGUGCCAGCAGCCGCAGUAA
rnacentral:rRNA from 1 species